UACGUAGGGUGCAAGCGUUGUCCGGAAUUAUUGGGCGUAAAGAGCUCGUAGGCGGUUUGUCGCGUCGACUGUGAAAACCCGAGGCUUAACCUCGGGCCUGCAGUCGAUACGGGCAGACUAGAGUUCGGUAGGGGAGACUGGAAUUCCUGGUGUAGCGGUGAAAUGCGCAGAUAUCAGGAGGAACACCGGUGGCGAAGGCGGGUCGCUGGGCCGAUACUGACGCUGAGGAGCGAAAGCGUGGGGAGCGAACAGG
rnacentral:rRNA from 1 species